GGAGCAAGAAAGGGUAUGAGCAAUAAAUUGCACCAAUGGAAAACUGAAGAAACAUCAAAGAAAAAGAUUGCUGUUGAAAUUUUGAAAUUGAUUUUCAUCUUCACUCUAACCCAAAACCCACCUGCAUUCAUGUGGCUAGCUAGGUAGGGGAAAGAAAAUAGUACCGGCACUAAAAAUUAUAUACACAGUCACAAACACUCACACACACACGCACAAUUUCCUCCAACAAUAUCAUCAUCAGGCUUGUUGCGGAAAGGAUCGAUUCGAGAACUCCGAUAUGACUACAAGUAAAUUGACCGGAACGAAAAAUAAAGUGAACACAAGGAUUUACGUGGUUCGGCUUUAAUGCCUACGUCCACGGGCAGAGGCGAAAAGAAAUUUCACUAUAACAAGAUGAAGAUUACAAGUGUUUUACACUCAAGACACAACCCGAGAACCUCACAACUCUCAACCCCUAUAGAAAACCCGAAAGCUAAAAUCCUAGCUUUCAAAGAACAAGCUUUGCUCUCUCUUGGUUUGGGAUGAUAAAUAUGGCUAAUGAACCUCUCUAUUUAUAAGAGAGUUCAAGGACAUAAUUGUCCAAAACUUUGGCAAAGAUUUGUGGUUGAAAAUGGACACCAACAACCAUCCACUAAUCCACUACCACCAACAACCCACUACCAACAACAACAAUCCACUACCAAUUUUAAGCCAUUUCUUAACAAAUCUCCACCUUGGCUUGAAAUUUACCAAGCUGAACAUCAUAGUGAACUGGAUCACCUCUUCCAAACGCCUCUCUGGCGCUAAUCAAUCCCGAAUACCUAUCAAGUCCAAGCAAUGCUUGAACUUAUAUGCAGGGAUCACCUUAGUUAACAUAUCUGCAGGAUUCUUCUCGGUAGCAACCUUGCUGAUAACAAUGUCACCUUGCGUAACAUGUUCCCGAACAAAAUGAUAUCUGACAUCAAUGUGUUUGGUCCGUUCAUGAAACAUCUGAUUUUUAGUCAGAUGUAUGGCACUCUGGCUAUCGCAAAAUACAACAGUGAAAUCCUGUUGUAAACCCAAACUGCUUACUAGACCUUUCAUCCACAAUGCUUCUUUCACUGCUUCUGCUAACGCCAUAUAUUCCGCCUCAGUCGUAGAUAAGGCUACGGUAGACUGUAACACAGCUUUCCAACUAAUGGCUCCUCCAGAAUAAGUGAAAACAUAACCCGUCAGAGAUCUUCUUUUGUCCAGAUCUCCAGCAUAAUCAGAGUCCGCAUAGCCCGUGACACUGCUAGUGCAGUCACUCUGAUCAUAUACCAAGCAUAAAUCUGCAGAACCUCUCAAGUACCUGAGAAUCCAUUUCACGGCCUGCCAGUGUUCCUUGCCAGGACAACUCAUGUAUCUGCUGACCACACUAACUGCAUGUGAAAUGUCUGGACGAGUGCAAACCAUUGCAUACAUCACGCUUCCAACUGCACUCGAGUAUGGAAUGUGAGACAUUUGCUGCUUUUCUUCAUCAGAUUGUGGUGACAACUCUGCAGAGAGUUUGAAAUGUGGUGCCAACGGAGUACUCACAGUUUUCGCUUUAUCCAUGCCGAAGCGUUGAAGAACCUUUUCAAUGUAGUUCUUCUGCGACACACGAAGCUUGCCCGCCUUGCGAUCUCUGUGAAUAUCCAUGCCCAAAAUUUUCUUGGCAGCACCCAGAUCCUUCAUCUCGAACUCACCACUCAACUGCGACUUUAACUUGUUGAUUUCCGACAUGUUUUUGGAAGCAAUUAACAUGUCAUCAACAUACAGCAACAAAUAAAUGUGCGAACCAUCUGAGAGCUUCCGAUGAUAGACACAAGCAUCAUAGUCACAUCUUGUGUAACCAUGCUGAAUCAUGAAGCUAUCAAACCGCUUGUACCACUGCCUUGGGGAUUGUUUCAAUCCAUAUAAAGACUUCUUUAAUAGACAGACAUGGUCUUCUUUACCAGGAACUGUAAAACCCUCUGGUUGACGCAUGUAGAUUGUUUCCUCGAGCUCACCAUGCAAGAACGCCGUUUUUACGUCAAGCUGCUCAAGUUCUAGAUCAGACUUGGCCACCAUGGCAAGUAAUAUACGAAUGGAAGAAUGCUUUACGACUGGGGAGAAAACUUCAUUGUAGUCAAUCCCCUCUUUCUGAGUGAAGCCUUUAGCAACCAAUCGUGCCUUGAAUCUAGUUGCUUCAACCCCUAGGAUGCCUUCCUUUUUCUUGAAGACCCAUUUGCAACCAACUAUCUUCUGGUUACUUGGCGGCUUAACCAACUCCCAAGUAUGGUUCUUGUGAAGAGAUUCUAUCUCCUCACUCAUAGCAAUUGCCCACUGUGCCGACUCAUCACACGUGACAGCCUCAUUAUAACUGGAAGGUUCUAUACCAAUGGACUCCGCCACACUGAGCGCGAAAGACACCAGAUUAGCGUAACGCGGAUUUGGUUUGAUUUGUCUCUUCGUUCUUCCAGUGGCAAUGCUAUAUGGUUUUUCUUGAGGUGACUCAUCUUCAUCGGAAUCUUGCACCUCAACUUGAUCAUCCUGGACUGAAGUACCUUCCGUAGGAAUUGGAGCGUCCACCUGACACUCCACCUGCUUCUCAACACCGUGAUCUCCCAUUCUAUCUGACUCCUCCUUUUCCCGGGAAUUUGUGGUGGAUCGAAGCAUGGAUGACUCAUCAAAAGUCACAUCUCUGCUGAUGAUGAACUUGGACGAAACCGGAUCAGGACACCACAACCUGUAUCCUUUCACCCCUUGGCCGUAUCCAAGAAAUAUGCAUUUCUUCGCCCUCGGUUUGAGUUUUCCCUCAUUUACAUGAGCAUACGCAGGGCAGCCAAACACUCUUAAACCAGAGUAAUCAGCAGGAGAACCAGACCAUACUUCCUCAGGAGUCUUCAGCUCAAUAGCUGUUGACGGAGAUCUGUUAACCAAAUAACAAGCAGUAUUAACAGCUUCAGCCCAAAAUUCUUCACCGAGCCCAGCAUUUGAUCGCAUGCAACGAGCUCGCUCCAAGAGAGUUCUAUUCAUGCGUUCUGCAACUCCAUUUUGUUGUGGUGUUCGACGAACAGUGCGGUGUCUCACUAUUCCUUCAUUCUUGCAGAACUCAUUGAAUUCACCUGAGCAAAACUCCAAGCCAUUAUCCGUCCGGAAUCGCUUGAUCUUCUUUCCUGUUUGAUUUUCGAUCAAAGCUUUAAAUUGCUUGAAGUUGAUGAGAACCUCAUACUUGCUCUUCAGAAAAUACACCCAAACCUUUCUCGAGUAAUCAUCGAUAAAGGUAAGCAGAUAUCUGUAACCACCUUUAGAAAUUGUCGGAGAAGGCCCCCAAAGGUCAGAAUGGAAGUAAUCCACUGUGCCUUUUGUCUUGUGAAUCCCAGUGCUGAACUUUACCCGAGUCUGCUUACCGAAGACGCAGUGCUCACAGAAAUUCAACUUUCCUGUACACUGCCCAGACAAUAAUCCUCGUUUGCUUAGCACCGAUAAGCCUCUCUCGCUCAUAUGCCCGAGCCGCAUAUGCCAUAACUUCGUGGUGUCAGAAUCUAGAUCAUCUGAUGAUGACACUCCCGCAACACCUGUAACCGAGGAACCAUCGAGGAAGUAAAGGCCCCGCUCCAAAUUACCACGUAUCACAGUCAAAGCACCCGAGAAUACCUUGAGAACUCCACCUUCAGCAGAGUACCGAAAGCCUUUCUUGUCCAACGUACUCAAAGAGAUCAAAUUUUUCUUCAUUUCUGGAAUGUGCCGAACAUCAGUUAGAGUUCUAACAAUACCGUCAAACAUCUUUAUACGAACUGUGCCAAUCCCCAUGACUUGACAUGCGUGGUCAUUUCCCAUUAGUACUGAACCAGAAUGCUUCUCGUAUGUUGAGAAUGCAUCUUUCGAAGUACUUAUAUGAAAUGUAGCUCCCGUAUCAAGAAUCCAUCUCCCACCAGCGUAAGAGUCGGAUACUGCAAGAACGAUCUCGGCAUCACUUGAAGAAUCUGCAUCAGCUACAUUCGCACGAUCAUUUUGUUGCUCCUGUGAUUCUGAUUUCUCCUUCCUUUUCGGACAAUCUACCUUCAUGUGCCCGUACUUCUUACAGUAGUAGCACUGUAUUCUCUUCUUGGACUGCGAUCUAGGAUGGCUUUUACUUGAACUUCCACCCUUUGCCUUGGAUCUUCCUCGAGCAACCAAGCCUUCGCCUUCAUUGUUUUCGACCACCUUACCAGUGAUUUUCUUCCUCAACUCACUGGAACUUAAGGCAUUUUUCACCUCCUCUAGAGUCAGGUCAUCACGACCGUACAUCAUUGUAUCAACAAAAUUCUCAUACGAGGGAGGCAAAGAACACAAAACAAUUAUUGCUUGGUCCUCAUCAUCGAUUUUGUUAUCGAUAUUAUUCAAAUCCAUGAUAAUGGAAUUGAAUUUAUCCAGGUGCUGGGAAACAGGUGUACCUUCCUCCAUCUUCAGGGCAUAGAGUCUUUGCUUGAGGUAGAGCCGGUUCGUCAAUGACUUCGUCAUGUACUUGCUCUCUAACCGGAGCCACAAACCGGACGCGGUUUUCUCAUCCGCUACUUCUCGUAGCACUUCAUCUCCUAGACAUAGCAGAAUAGCACUAUGUGCUCUUUCUAGCAUGUCAUCCUUUUGCUCUUCCGAAAGCGUGCUUGGUAAUUUAUCUUUACCAGACAAUGCUUUUAGCAAUCCUUGUUGAACCAGCACUGCCCGCAUCUUGAUGCGCCAUAAACUGAAACUAUUUUUCCCGGUAAAUUUCUCGACAUCAUACUUAGUCGAUGAAACACUUGUAGCCAUAAUUUGGAACCUUUGAAUGAAUGAUAAUAUUUUCUUCCUGAUGUGAAAGAUCAGACAAAGCUGCAGUCACAGGGCAAUUCAGAAAAUAUUAUCACUCCUUCAACUACGCUCUGAUACCAAUUUGUUGCGGAAAGGAUCGAUUCGAGAACUCCGAUAUGACUACAAGUAAAUUGACCGGAACGAAAAAUAAAGUGAACACAAGGAUUUACGUGGUUCGGCUUUAAUGCCUACGUCCACGGGCAGAGGCGAAAAGAAAUUUCACUAUAACAAGAUGAAGAUUACAAGUGUUUUACACUCAAGACACAACCCGAGAACCUCACAACUCUCAACCCCUAUAGAAAACCCGAAAGCUAAAAUCCUAGCUUUCAAAGAACAAGCUUUGCUCUCUCUUGGUUUGGGAUGAUAAAUAUGGCUAAUGAACCUCUCUAUUUAUAAGAGAGUUCAAGGACAUAAUUGUCCAAAACUUUGGCAAAGAUUUGUGGUUGAAAAUGGACACCAACAACCAUCCACUAAUCCACUACCACCAACAACCCACUACCAACAACAACAAUCCACUACCAAUUUUAAGCCAUUUCUUAACAAGGCUCUAAGAGAUAAACAAAAAGAAAAGAAAAAAAAGAUGGAAAAGGAAGCUAGAAUAUUCUUGAAUGGAUAUUUGAAACUAACAUGUGGGAGGCAUAAGGUUCAGCCGUAAAUCAUCUUUUUCCAAGACCAAACGUGCUUUGUUAGU
rnacentral:lncRNA from 1 species